rnacentral:rRNA from 1 species
AAUGAACGCUGGCGGCAUGCCUUACACAUGCAAGUCGAACGGCAGCACGGGAGCAAUCCUGGUGGCGAGUGGCGAACGGGUGAGUAAAGUAUCGGAACGUGCCCAGUCGUGGGGGAUAACGUAGCGAAAGUUACGCUAAUACCGCAUACGAUCUAUGGAUGAAAGCGGGGGAUCGCAAGACCUCGCGCGAUUGGAGCGGCCGAUAUCAGAUUAGGUAGUUGGUGGGGUAAAGGCUCACCAAGCCGACGAUCUGUAGCUGGUCUGAGAGGACGACCAGCCACACUGGGACUGAGACACGGCCCAGACUCCUACGGGAGGCAGCAGUGGGGAAUUUUGGACAAUGGGCGAAAGCCUGAUCCAGCCAUGCCGCGUGCAGGAUGAAGGCCUUCGGGUUGUAAACUGCUUUUGUACGGAACGAAAAGGUUUUGCCUAAUAAGCUGAGCUCAUGACGGUACCGUAAGAAUAAGCACCGGCUAACUACGUGCCAGCAGCCGCAGUAACAC